AGAGUUUGAUCCUGGCUCAGGAUGAAUGCUGGCGGCGUGCCUAACACAUGCAAGUCGAACGAAGCUUGACGGUGGAACUCUUCGGAGGGAAACCUGAUAUGACUUAGUGGCGGACGGGUGAGUAACACGUGAGCAACCUGCCUUUCAGAGGGGGACAACGACUGGAAACGGUCGCUAAUACCGCAUGAUAUGUUCGGAUGGCAUCAUCUGAACAUCAAAGAUUUAUCGCUGAAAGAUGGGCUCGCGUCUGAUUAGAUAGUUGGUGAGGUAACGGCUCACCAAGUCGACGAUCAGUAGCCGGACUGAGAGGUUGAACGGCCACAUUGGGACUGAGAUACGGCCCAGACUCCUACGGGAGGCAGCAGUGGGGAAUAUUGCACAAUGGGGGAAACCCUGAUGCAGCAACGCCGCGUGAAGGAAGACGGUUUUCGGAUUGUAAACUUCUUUUCUUUGUGAAGAAACAAAUGACGGUAGCAAAGGAAUAAGCAUCGGCUAACUACGUGCCAGCAGCCGCGGUAAUACGUAGGAUGCAAGCGUUAUCCGGAUUUACUGGGUGUAAAGGGAGCGCAGGCGGGACUUCAAGUUGGAUGUGAAAUGUCAAGGCUUAACCAUGGCACUGCAUCCAAAACUGUAGUUCUUGAGUGGAGUAGAGGUAAGCGGAAUUCCGAGUGUAGCGGUGAAAUGCGUAGAUAUUCGGAGGAACACCAGUGGCGAAGGCGGCUUACUGGGCUCUAACUGACGCUGAGGCUCGAAAGUGUGGGGGAGCAAACAGGAUUAGAUACCCUGGUAGUCCACACUGUAAACGAUGAUAGCUAGGUGUGGGGGGUCUGACCCCUUCCGUGCCGGAGUUAACGCAAUAAGCUAUCCACCUGGGGAGUACGAUCGCAAGAUUGAAACUCAAAGGAAUUGACGGGGGCCCGCACAAGCGGAGGAACAUGUGGUUUAAUUCGACAAUACGCGAAGAACCUUACCUAGACUUGACAUCCCCGGCAAAGCUAUAGAAAUAUAGUGGAGGUUACCCGGGUGACAGAUGGUGCAUGGUUGUCGUCAGCUCGUGUCGUGAGAUGUUUGGUUAAGUCCAACAACGAGCGCAACCCUCGUCUUAAGUUACUAACAUUAAGUUGAGCACUCUUAAGAUACUGCCAGUGCAAGCUGGAGGAAGGUGAGGAUGACGUCAAAUCAUCAUGCCUCUUACGUCUAGGGCUACAGGCGUGCUACAAUGGCCGAUACAACGAGAAGCAAUACGGCGACGUAAAGCAAAACUCUAAAAGUCGGUCCCAGUUCGGAUUGGAGUCUGCAACUCGACUCCAUGAAGUUGGAAUCGCUAGUAAUCCCGAAUCAGAAUGUCGGGGUGAAUACGUUCCCGGGUGUUGACACAACGCCCGUCA
rnacentral:rRNA from 1 species